rnacentral:misc_RNA from 1 species
GAUGAAGACGUAGCGAAAUGCGAUAAGUAGUGUGAAUUGCAGAAUUCAGUGAAUCAUCGAAUCUUUGAACGCACAUUGCGCCCUGUGGUAUUCCGCAGGGCAUGCCUGUUCGAGCGUCAUUGACACCCUCAAGCUCUGCUUGGUCUUGGGCGUUUGUGCCUGCCGUUGCGCAGGGACUCGCCUCAAACUCAUUGGCAGCCUGCCUUUGCCGGUCUUUGCACAGCACAGUCGUGCCAAAGCCGCGGUGAGCAGGCGCUCCACAAGCCCUUUUCAGCUUGACCUCGGAUCAGGUAGGAAUACCCGCUGAACUUAAGCAUAUCAAUAAGCGGAGGA